GACGAACGCUGGCGGCGUGCUUAACACAUGCAAGUCGAACGGAAAGGCCCUGCUUUUUUGGGCUUCUCGAGUGCCGAACGGGUGAGUAACACGUGUGUAACCUGCCCUUCCCUUUGGUAUAACUUCAGGAAACUGGGGCUAAUCUCGUAUAGGAUCUCCUGCUGCUUGGUGGGCGUUGGAAAGUUUCGGCGGUUGGGGAUGUACUCGCGGCUUAUCGGCUUGUUUGUGGGGUAGGGGCUUACCCAGGCAUUGCCGGGUAGCCGGCCUGGGAGGGUGAACGGCGACAUUGGGACUGAGAUACGGCCCAGACUCGUACGGGAGGCAGCAGUGGGGAAGAUUGUACAAUGGGAGGAAGCCUGAUGCAGCAACGCCGCGUGCGGGAUGACGGGCUUCGGGUUGUAAACAGCUGUCGCUUGUGACGAAGCGUGAGUGACGGUACCGGGUAAAGAAGCACCGGCUAACUACGUG
rnacentral:rRNA from 1 species